AUUGAACGCUGGCGGCAGGCCUAACACAUGCAAGUCGAACGAGUGGCGGACGGGUGAGUAAUGUCUGGGAAACGGCCUGAUGGAGGGGGUUAACUACUGGAACCGGUAGUUAAAACCGCAUACCAUCGGAGGUGCCCAGAGGGGAUUAGCUAGUAGGUGGGGUAACGGCGUACCUAGGCGACGAUCCCUAGCUGGUCUGAGAGGAUGACGAGCCACACUGGACCUGAUACACGGUCCAGACUCCUACGGGAGGCAGCAGUGGGGAAUAUUGCACAAUGGGCGCAAGCCUGAUGCAGCCAUGCCGCGUGUAUGAAGAAGGCCUUCGGGUUGUAAAGUACUUUCAGCGGGGAGGCGUUACCCGCAGAAGAAGCACCGGCUAACUCCGUGCCAGCAGCCGCGGUAAUUC
rnacentral:rRNA from 1 species